GAACUAGUUAUAAUAUUUUCAAAAUGUAACUCUCAUGCCUUCCCUUGGUUUUGGUUAUAGGUACACUAGUUCUUCCCAUUCUGCAUGGACUAUUAGAAAAGCCCUAGGAGGCGUGUCCCAGAGAGGUGUUUUCUGCUAUGGCUUCUGCAUAGUGACUCAAAAAGCACUGGACACUCUAGUUACUACUGUGAAUCCAAGUGUGAGUUAGGCUCAGUGCCUGCUACAUUAUCUGUUGGGAUAAACUAAAGAGAACCAGACAUAUUGCCCUGCAUAUCCAUGGGCACCUACAGCAGAUGCAUGAACAAGUACUGUAGGAGCUCCCGGGAGAGCGCUGCCAUCCUCUGCUUUGUGGGUGGGCAGGAGGCACAGCUGUGAGCAUUUGCCAGCAGAGGCAUGGAUAGAGCCCCCAGCUGUUCAUGUUCCUGCUUAUGAUUGGGGCCAAGGGAAGACCUUUGGGAUUUCCUUCUGUUUCCUGAGGCUUGGCUUAAUUCCUGAAUCUCUUCUAUGAAGUCUUUCAUGCAAUCUACAGUUCAUUCAUUUACAACAUGGCUCAGUUAUGAUACUCUUUGAUUCAUUCACUCCCUCUUUUGGACCUUUACCUCCUCAAUGAUGCCCUCA
rnacentral:lncRNA from 1 species